rnacentral:rRNA from 1 species
GACGAACCGAGCGAACGUUGUUCGGAAUCAUUGGGCGUAAAGGGUGCGCAGGCGGCGCGGUAAGUCGGGUGUGAAAUCUCGGAGCUUAACUCCGAAACUGCAUUCGAUACUGCCGUGCUUGAGGACUGGAGAGGAGACUGGAAUUUACGGUGUAGCGGUGAAAUGCGUAGAUAUCGUAAGGAAGACCAGUGGCGAAGGCGGGUCUCUGGACAGUUCCUGACGCUGAGGCACGAAGGCCAGGGGAGCAAACGGG